ACUCAAAGGAAUUGACGGGGACCCGCACAAGCAGCGGAGCGUGUGGUUUAAUUCGACGCAACGCGAAGAACCUCACCUAGAUUUGACAUGGAGCUGCAAGCCCUGGAAACAGGGUCGCCUUCGAGGGUGCUUCACCGGUGCUGCAUGGCUGUCGUCAGUUCGUGUCGUGAGAUGUUGGGUUAAGUCCCGCAACGAGCGCAACCCUCGUCGCCAGUUGCACGUAUCUGGCGAGACUGCCCUUCGGGGAGGAAGGUGGGGAUGACGUCAAGUCCGCAUGGCCCCUACGUCUAGGGCUACACACACGCUACAAUGGCCGUUUCUAAUGCGUCGCGCGUGGGUAACCACAAGCCAAUCGCCAAAGACGGUCGCAGUGCAGAUCGGGGGCUGAAACUCGCCCCCGUGAAGGCGGAGUUGCUAGUAACCGCGUAUCAGCAUGGCGCGGUGAAUACGUACCCGGGUCUUGUACACACCGCCCGU
rnacentral:rRNA from 1 species